GACGAACGCUGGCGGCGUGCUUAACACAUGCAAGUCGAACGGUGAAGGGACCGGUUUUUGCUGGUUCUGGAUGAGUGGCGAACGGGUGAGUAACACGUGAGUAACCUGCCCCCUUCUUCUGGAUAACCGCAUGAAAGUGUGGCUAAUACGGGAUAUUCUGCGCCUGCUGCAUGGUGGGGGUGGGAAAGAUAUUGUUUCGGUGGGGGAUGGGCUCGCGGCCUAUCAGCUUGUUGGUGGGGUGAUGGCCUACCAAGGCGGUGACGGGUAGCCGGCCUGAGAGGGUGGACGGUCACACUGGGACUGAGACACGGCCCAGACUCCUACGGGAGGCAGCAGUGGGGAAUAUUGAACAAUGGGCGCAAGCCUGAUGCAGCGACGCCGCGUGAGGGAUGGAGGCCUUCGGGUUGUAAACCUCUUUCGCCAGUGAAGCAGGCCUGUCCCUUUUGUGGGUGGGUUGACGGUAGCUGGAUAAGAAGCGCCGGCUAACUACGUG
rnacentral:rRNA from 1 species